UUGGAUUACGACUGAACGCCUCUAAGUCGGAAUCCAUGCUGGCUAAGCAGUGUUGUCCACCAUUUCCAUUGUUACAUGACAAGCAUUAGGUCUCGGCCCUGUUGCAUACGAACACUAUUACCGUGAAAGGUUUUGUGCUUAAUCUUAAUUUCCAACUUUGGAAGUGAUAAAUCUUUUGCAGACGACUUAACCGAAUCCAGGUAUUGUAAGU
rnacentral:rRNA from 1 species